GGCCAAAGCUCCCUAUAGCUCAGUCGGUUAGAGCCUGAGACUCUUAAUCUCAGGGUCGUGGGUUCGAGCUCCAUAUUGGUCA